rnacentral:rRNA from 1 species
GUCUUCUUGUAAGUGUAGGAAGUCUGGCCUGCCCAGUGAAAAUGUAUUUAACGGCCGCGGUACAUUGACCGUGCAAAGGUAGCAUAAUCAUUAGUCUUUUAAUAGGGGACUGGAAUGAAGGGUUCAACGAAAUACUAACUGUCUCAAAUUAAUAUAUUUUAAUUUGAUUUUUAAGUCAAAAAGCUUAAAUUUUAUUGAAGGACGAGAAGACCCUAUAGAGCUUUAUAGUUAAUGUUAAUAAAUAUUUUAUUUUAUUUUUGGUUUGUUAGUAUUAACUUUUUUGUUGGGGUGACAACAGAUAUAUAAACAACUUUUUUAUUUAAAAAACAUUUAUUUAUGGUUAAUAGAUCCAUUACUAUUGAUUAUUAGAAUGAGUUACCUUAGGGAUAACAGCGUAAUCUUCCUUCAGAGUCCAUAUUUACAGGGAGGGUUGCGACCUCGAUGUUGGAUUAAGAUUAUAAUUAGGUGUAGCAGCUUAAUAUAUAGGUCUGUUCGACCUUUAAAUUCUUACAUGAUCUGAGUUCAGACCGG